CCUACGGGUGGGCUGCAGUGGGGAAUUUUGGACAAUGGGGGCAACCCUGAUCCAGCCAUGCCGCGUGCGGGAAGAAGGCCUUCGGGUUGUAAACCGCUUUCGGCCGGAACGAAAUCGCCGGGGAGAACAUCCCCGGUGGAUGACGGUACCGGAAGAAGAAGCACCGGCUAACUACGUGCCAGCAGCCGCGGUAAUACGUAGGGUGCGAGCGGGAAUCGGAAUUACGGGGCGGAAAGGCUAAGCAGGCGGUGAAAUCCCCGGGCUUAACCUGGGAACUGCGUUUGUGACUGGCGGGCUGGAGUGCGGAAGAGGGAGGUGGAAUUCCACGUGUAGCAGUGAAAUGCGUAGAGAUGUGGAGGAACACCGAUGGCGAAGGCAGCCUCCUGGUCUAGCACUGACGCUCAUGCACGAAAGCGUGGGGAGCACACAGGAUUAGAUACCCUGGUAGUC
rnacentral:rRNA from 1 species